GUGUCAGUCAUAUCAGUUUCUCAUUAAUUGUAUCAGAGAUAUAUCACGUAUUAUCUCGUUAUUUAUCCUCUGUUACCGUUAUCUUAACAUUGUUGUCGUACAGUUCAACGAUAUUCGUAUAUUCGGAUCAUAUUUAAGACGCAAGAUCUAAACAAUUUAAGUUUCGAAGAGAAACCUCUAAUGCAGCUACGAACUGGGUAUCUUAUUACACAACACCGAGCCAUUGAAUAGAAUUUCUCGCCUACUUGUUCAACGAAGAGUAAAAUGGAAUUUCGAGGUUAUUUACGCGUUAGCUAUGACACGAAUGGAGUGUCACGAAUCAAGGAAACGAUCGAAGAUAAAUAGGAUGGAACUAUUACUCAAACGCUCGGACAUUAUAUAGUCGACAGGCAGAUUAUUUCAUUAGUAUUCAACGAAUGAACUUUUAGAUGAAUGAAAUUUUGUUUACGACUACGCAUGAAGUAUUAAUGCUUUGCAUCCCAAUUCAUUUAAAAAAUCCAGCCCCACAGCAGUCUCCUAAAAAUAAAAGUCAACGACCAUAUUAUAUCGAUCAAGAGUAAGAAUCUACAUCCAGUACGAAAACUCGUGUGUGAACUCGAGCCAAGUGAAUCAGCGAUCGAGCUGCAAACAAGCCACGUGUACUAUCAGGAUCGCGCAGAUUGCAAUGAUUGCACGUCCCUAUCGCGCCGCGGAAUCGAACACGGUGGUGGGAGACGACCACUUCUGAGCGGCGAUCGAGAGCAACCGGGUCGUGGAUCGCUGGACGUCUUUAUUUCUCUCUUUCUUUUUUUAUCCGCACGCGUGAUCGCGUUGCACGUAUUGUUUCGACGCACGCACCACACGGCUGCUACUCACGCAACACGGUUAACCGUUAGAAUGGCUGAUAGGGUGGUGAGCAGGUCUCGUGCAAUGCCGAAUUCAGGUCACGAAAUAUUUCAUGAUAACGCCGUGAGAGGGCCUGUCGCACGAACUAGGCUGAUA